GCGAGUAUAAGUUAAUUGGUAAACUCACCCGCUUCCAACGGGUAAUAAUAGGUUCGAGUCCUAUUACUCGCA